UUAUGGCCAUAUCACAUUGAACAACCAGUUCUCGUCCGAUCACCGAAGUUAAGUAAUGUCGAAGCCAGUUAGUACCAAGAUGGAUGGCUGUUUGGGAAUAGCAUGUGCUGUAA